rnacentral:rRNA from 1 species
GAAGGUGGCCUGUGAGGGUUGCUGGAGGUAUCAGAAGUGCGAAUGCUGACAUAAGUAACGAUAAAGCGGGUGAAAAGCCCGCUCGCCGGAAGACCAAGGGUUCCUGUCCAACGUUAAUCGGGGCAGGGUGAGUCGACCCCUAAGGCGAGGCCGAAAGGCGUAGUCGAUGGGAAACGGGUUAAUAUUCCCGUACUUGGUGUUACUGCGAAGGGGGGACGGAGAAGGCUAUGUUGGCCGGGCGACGGUUGUCCCGGUUUAAGCGUGUAGGUGUGUGUUCCAGGUAAAUCCGGUUCACUUUAACACUGAGGCGUGAUGACGAGGCACUACGGUGCUGAAGCAACAAAUGCCCUGCUUCCAGGAAAAGCCUCUAAGCAUCAGGUAACAUCAAAUCGUACCCCAAACCGACACAGGUGGUCAGGUAGAGAAUACCAAGGCGCUUGAGAGAACUCGGGUGAAGGAACUAGGCAAAAUGGUGCCGUAACUUCGGGAGAAGGCACGCUGACAYGUAGGUGAAGUGAUUUACUCAYGGAGCUGAAGUCAGUCGAAGAUACCAGCUGGCUGCAACUGUUUAUUAAAAACACAGCACUGUGCAAACACGAAAGUGGACGUAUACGGUGUGACGCCUGCCCGGUGCCGGAAGGUUAAUUGAUGGGGUCAGCGCAAGCGAAGCUCCUGAUCGAAGCCCCGGUAAACGGCGGCCGUAACUAUAACGGUCCUAAGGUAGCGAAAUUCCUUGUCGGGUAAGUUCCGACCUGCACGAAUGGCGUAAUGAUGGCCAGGCUGUCUCCACCCGAGACUCAGUGAAAUUGAACUCGCUGUGAAGAUGCAGUGUACCCGCGGCAAGACGGAAAGACCCCGUGAACCUUUACUAUAGCUUGACACUGAACAUUGAGCCUUGAUGUGUAGGAUAGGUGGGAGGCUUUGAAGUGUGGACGCCAGUCUGCAUGGAGCCGACCUUGAAAUACCACCCUUUAAUGUUUGAUGUUCUAACGUGGACCCGUAAUCCGGGUUGCGGACAGUGUCUGGUGGGUAGUUUGACUGGGGCGGUCUCCUCCUAAAGAGUAACGGAGGAGCACGAAGGUUGGCUAAUCCUGGUCGGACAUCAGGAGGUUAGUGCAAUGGCAUAAGCCAGCUUGACUGCGAGCGUGACGGCGCGAGCAGGUGCGAAAGCAGGUCAUAGUGAUCCGGUGGUUCUGAAUGGAAGGGCCAUCGCUCAACGGAUAAAAGGUACUCCGGGGAUAACAGGCUGAUACCGCCCAAGAGUUCAUAUCGACGGCGGUGUUUGGCACCUCGAUGUCGGCUCAUCACAUCCUGGGGCUGAAGUAGGUCCCAAGGGUAUGGCUGUUCGCCAUUUAAAGUGGUACGCGAGCUGGGUUUAGAACGUCGUGAGACAGUUCGGUCCCUAUCUGCCGUGGGCGCUGGAGAACUGAGGGGGGCUGCUCCUAGUACGAGAGGACCGGAGUGGACGCAUCACUGGUGUUCGGGUUGUCAUGCCAAUGGCACUGCCCGGUAGCUAAAUGCGGAAGAGAUAAGUGCUGAAAGCAUCUAAGCACGAAACUUGCCCCGAGAUGAGUUCUCCCUGAGACUUAGAGUCUCCUGAAGGAACGUUGAAGACGACGACGUUGAUAGGCCGGGUGUGUAAGCGCAGCGAUGCGUUGAGCUAACCGGUACUAAUGAACCGUGAGGCUUAACCUU